rnacentral:lncRNA from 1 species
GUCAACGGUUUGGUUUUGAACCAAACCAAAGCGCUUUGAAGUGGUUUGAUUUAAGAUUCAAUCUUCGCAAAACGUUUCAAACUGCCAAACCGUUUACCAAAAAAUAACAAUAAAAAAAAUCUGAAAAUAAAUUAAUCUAAAUUUUAUUUAACCCAAUUAAAACUUAACACAUUUUAGUUAAAAAAAUACAUCUAUAUUAGACAUAAUUCAAUUAAACUUAAUUCGACAAUUAUGCAUUUCAAUUAAUUAAUUAAUUAAUCAUAUCCAAAUAUUCACGAGUCAUCACAAUUGUGAAUGUAAAACUGAAAGGUCGAGGAGCGUCCAAGAAUUAAUCAAGAUUCAAACAAACACAAACAGUAAAAUAAAGUGCAGAAAAUUGUAAAAUGAGCACAAGAUUUUUUCGGCCGAAGCCCCAGAGGUUCGUCGACCACUUCUAACGCAUAUUCCCUUGUUGAGCAUCCAUUAAAAUGGAUAAAACUCGAUUGCACUAUAAAACCCCAAAAAUCAGGCAGUAAAAUACAAUAAUGUUUCAGCAAUACUACAGAAAUAAAGUCACCAAGAUUUAUCUUUAAAAUAAGGCACAAUCAAGCCUCACUCCACUAAGGAAUCAAAAUCUGGAUCACAUAGAUCACCAAAAUCGAACUACCCUCAUAGAAUCACUAAGAUUCAUACACAAUCAACAGAGAAGAGCACCCUACUAUAUGCAUCUAUAGAAUUACACGAUUUCCUAGAUUUAAUUGCUGAAAACACUCAAGAAUCCACCCUAAUCCACAAAGGAGAAGGAAGUCUUCACCAAGAAGAGAACCAAAAAAGCCGACUCUAAAACCAAGAAUAAUGUCUCUCUCACAAAUCUGAAAAUCACCAAAAAUAUAGUCUCCACAUAGGAAAGAAAAUCGACCAGAAAGUCUGUCCCAAAACCAAUAAUAUUUCUCCCAAAAAUCUCCAAAAUAAAGAACCCAAAAUCACAAAGAAGAAGGGCUUUGUCGUAGGGAAGAAGAGAGAGCAGAGAUCGGACUUCAAAAUGAAUUUAUCUCUCAAAAAUUGAAGCUGUCGUCCCAAUCAGAAUAGUCCAAGAUUUAUAUAUUGCAAGUCAAUAUAAUUUGAUCUAAU